rnacentral:lncRNA from 1 species
CUUCUGGGCUUGGUUCCGGAGGAGGCCAAAAGAAAGUUUACCAGGGAAGCAAUUUGAAGGCAAAAGUCCACUCUAAAGUGAAGAAACAAGAAAGAAGACUGAACUGAAGGAAAACUGGGAGGUGUCAUGGAGUGCUGAAUGAAGGCAUGCGAAGAACUGAUGGCUUCCCAGGGCUUCUGUCACGAUGGGGUGGCCUGGAACAAGAGAAAUAUAUUGCCACUCUGUUCUGGAGCCUGGAAGUCCUGAGUUGAAAUGUCAGCAGAGCCAUACACCACAGAAGGUUCUAGUAACAAAUCCUUCCAGCCUCUGGCCUCCUCUACACUGGUCUGUAGCCUCUGGGGUCCUAGAUCCCUCUAAAGGGGCUGCAAAAUGGAAGAUGGAGUUGGGGUUCAAUUUCCCCUGCCGUCUGCGCGGGAAGGAGAAGGCGCGUCCAGGGGCGGGCACCAGGGGAGGGGACCACGAAGCCUGAAGAGUGGCAACGACAAAGGCCGCGGAGUCCUAGGGCCCUGCUUUUCUCCUCGAACCACCCAGCCCCAGCCGGAGCCUUGGAUUGCAAAAGAAAAACCGAAUGAGUUCUGCCGAGGUGGCAUUUUCGUCUCUUUCUGUCCCUUUCCCUAAAGCCGGCAGCCCUGCGGGGACGCGUCCCGGGUUAGAACUGCGCGGUACGCGGGCAAGGGGUGCUUCCGGGCGUCCCUGGAACCUGGAACUCGAGGAUCCUGGCUCCCAGUCUGUGGACACAAUUGCCUCUUUUAGGUUUGCAACGCUCCCGGGCUCUGCGCACACACUCACUGCUGCCAAAACAUUUCUCAAAGGUCCCCAAAUAAAAUCAAACCCGAGUAGUGGCCGAGGCCCGGGAUUGCCCAGAUAACGCACAAGGAACAGAAGUGAAGUCUGUUCUUUGGGGAGUAAUGGACAAUAAAAACAAAGCCGGGUU